CUGAGCAGCUCAGAGCUCUCGGGACACGACGGACUGAAGGCGCUGGUGCAGGAAGAGGACCUGGACUGUCCACAGCUCGCCACGAGAGGGUCAGAGGAGCACCAUGGGUUGCAACAGCAGUAAGAGUGGAGAGGCCAUCGACCCUGCCAAAAAACCUGGGGAAAAGGCAGAAGACGAGGGCGCCGAUGGAGAGCCUGACGCAGAUAGCGCACCGGCGGCCGAGGGCAAUGGGAAUGGGGCAGAAGGAGACACGAGCAGCUGAAAAUCAGCCCCCGCUAGACUGUGCCCUCCCAUCAGCUCUCCUCAAAAAUGAACUCCUGUGCAAAAUGGAUAUCACUGGCCUUGGAGAAGAAAACUUCUCCAGUGGCUGCCCUCAGAUGCCAGAGAUAGGAGUUCGGCUCUGUUUCUUCUUCAGUUAGUGUCUUCAUGACCAACCUGUAAAUAUGAUCACUACCACUACCGAGAUUUAUCGGCAAUACUUCUCUUCAAAGACUCCACCGUGUGAAAGUCUAGCACAGUGUAGCUGUAUAGUUGUACUAGGAGGUAUGUAGGCUAAAGAGCUGCUUUCUUUUGUUGGGUCAAUAAACUGUGGAAAAGGACCACACCCCCAGAAAAAAAGGGUACAGUGCCUUGUGUAUGAAUUGUAAGUUAAUGUUUUGUGUUGUGUUGUUGAAUUGAAUGUUUAUGCUUAUUUUUAUACCAAAAUGCCAAGGUAAUACCUGUAUUUGAUGUUUUUAAAGCAUAAAAAGAGAUGUAAGAGAUGCAAAAAAACAUCCAGGAAAUUUUGAUCAAAUCAAAAUUCUCAGCAAUAUGGUGUUUAAACUUAAAACACCCUGUUCUGUUCAGGGCCUCUCAGUCCUCUAUGCAGCUUCAGUAGUUGCAAAGACAGUAUAAAACAUGUCACUUUACAUGGACUCCUUUAUUUUCUUUUUAGAAUAUUUAAGAAUAUUUUCGGAAACAGCCUGAGUUAAAGUUUAUCUGAACUAAAUAUUUCCAGCUCAUGAAAGCUCUUAUUGUUCUGAUGAGAAACCUCUUCCUAUUGGCUGUGCCUCAGCUGAGUGACUGGAUGGAGCUUAGCCAUGUUGUUGUCUUGGCUCUGCCAGUAUCCUGUUUGUCCACUCCUGUUUAAAAUAAAGUCUGUCUGAACUGUGUGCUCUU